UUUCAGCGAACCGAGCCACAGCGGACGAUCCAGCGCACGGUCCUGGCCGUAGGUGGCCAGCAGCGCCUGCGCCUC
rnacentral:antisense_RNA from 2 species